AGAAUGACCGGUUUGCUCUUU
rnacentral:miRNA from 1 species